UGGCGGACGGGUGAGUAACGCGUGGGUAACCUGCCUUAUACAGGGGGAUAACAGUUAGAAAUGACUGCUAAUACCGCAUAAGCGCACAGGAUUGCAUGAUCCGGCGUGAAAAACUCCGGUGGUAUAAGAUGGACCCGCGUCUGAUUAGCUUGUUGGUGAGGUAACGGCCCACCAAGGCGACGAUCAGUAGCCGACCUGAGAGGGUGACCGGCCACAUUGGGACUGAGACACGGCCCAAACUCCUACGGGAGGCAGCAUG
rnacentral:rRNA from 1 species